CUUGUCUGGAGUUUAUUGUAACAAGUUUUUGGCUGUAGACUACAAAAUGGGAGAGUGGCUGUGGUGGACCGUUGGCUUGAUCUAAGCCUCAGGAUUUUGA